AUACGGAGGGUGCGAGCGUUAAUCGGAAUUACUGGGCGUAAAGCGCGCGUAGGCGGCUAAGUAAGUCGGAUGUGAAAGCCCUGGGCUUAACCUGGGAAUUGCACUCGAUACUGCUUGGCUAGAGUAUGGUAGAGGGUAGUGGAAUUCCUGGUGUAGCGGUGAAAUGCGUAGAUAUCAGGAGGAACAUCAGUGGCGAAGGCGGCUACCUGGACCAAUACUGACGCUGAGGUGCGAAAGCGUGGGGAGCAAACAGGAUUAGAAACCCCGGUAGUCC
rnacentral:rRNA from 1 species